ACUGUCACAUGAGGUGACAGCUUUACAGUAUCACCUAUGAACUAGACAGAAGUGGAAGACACCAACAUAGUUUUAAAACAAACAACUGAGAAACUACAGAUAGAGAAAGGGAUAUUAUAACUUUUCAUUUUGGAUUCAAGUGAAAACAAGAUGGGCACCAGAUGGAUCAUAUCAGUUGUCCUGAUUCUAAUGGCAACAGCAGGAACAACGGUACCUGCUUCGACAUCAACCACUGUGUCAACACAGACACCUGCUACUUCAACAAAGACACCUGCUCCAACAACAAAAACAACUGCAGCAACAACAGUGUCAAAAACCACGACACCUGCUCCAACAACUGCAAAAACAACACGUGCUCCGACAACAAUUGCAAAAACAACAACCCGUGCUC